AUGGACUGUUUCUCCUCUGCAAUGGCCCUCUGCUACACUGCCCUGCUUUAGAAUCAGCUGACUAUGGACUGAAACAUCCGUAAACUGUGAGGGUCUACCACGGAUACCGAAAAUGAAUGACUGUGUCAGUAACGUCAGGAAAAGGACCAGUGGAGUCUGCCUUGUGUUCAGCUGGGUUUACAACAAUGGCUGGGAAGCAUCCAACAGUGAUUAUGUUCUCUCCACGUCAAAACCACCAAGCGAAAAUAAAAGCAGCAGUCAGCCAAAUGCUUUGUCUACACCAUGGCAAGCUAUUAGUUGGACUGAAGUGACUCUCUGCCUUCCCUUUCAUUGUCUCAAUAGGGUGGAGGAGAGGCUUUAAUCAGUGGGGAGACCAGAAAUCUAGCUUUGUGUUUCUUGAUGCCGAGAUAAAAUUAACCUGUUGAUAGAUACUUUCACUUUUCCACUAGAUGGUGGGGCAUUAGACCCACAGUACUAUAUAUAUUAUAUGAAUUUUCACAGAGUUGCUGGGACUCUCCAUUUUCCAAUAUAUGGACAUAAAGCUUCCCAAACUCCUACUUUCUUCCACCUUAAAUCCUAUAAUAUAGACAUUAUCAUGGGGGAAUAUCUUUAGCCUGAUAUUCCAGAUACUUCAUCUAACUAACUGCAUCCUUUUGUGGCAUACCUUUCUGGUGGUUUAUGUAUUUCAGACCGGUGUUUCUCAGCCUCCACAGUACUGAUGGCUGGGCUUGACAAUUUUUUGUGAGAAUUGUCCUGUGGAUGCUGGUUUCUCCUCUUUUCCUUCAUGUCCCGUUCCAUC
rnacentral:lncRNA from 1 species